rnacentral:rRNA from 1 species
UGGGGAAUAUUGCACAAUGGGCGCAAGCCUGAUGCAGCCAUGCCGCGUGUAUGAAGAAGGCCUUCGGGUUGUAAAGUACUUUCAGUCGGGAGGAAGGUGUCAAGGUUAAUAACCUUGGCAAUUGACGUUACCGACAGAAGAAGCACCGGCUAACUCCGUGCCAGCAGCCGCGGUAAUACGGAGGGUGCAAGCGUUAAUCGGAAUUACUGGGCGUAAAGCGCACGCAGGCGGUCUGUCAAGUCGGAUGUGAAAUCCCCGGGCUCAACCUGGGAACUGCAUCUGAUACUGGCAAGCUUGAGUCUCGUAGAGGGGGGUAGAAUUCCAGGUGUAGCGAUGAAAUGCGUAGAGAUCUGGAGGAAUACCGGUGGCGAAGGCGGCCCCCUGGACGAAGACUGACGCUCAGGUGCGAAAGCGUGGGGAGCAAACAGG